UAAGAAGAAGAAGAAGAAUA
rnacentral:miRNA from 1 species